GCCAUAGUUCAGUGGUGGAAUAUCUGCCUUGUAUGCAGGAGGUCCCAAGUUAAGCCCUGGACAUCUCCA